CGGAGCACCAAUACUACGUCCAAUUUUUUAUAUUUUACUUUUUCUCUUUUAAAAUCUCACUUUAACGUCAAGACUCAUAAAUCUUUGACGUAUUUUUCGUCUGCAAGGAGGUCACUCUAAUGAUGUUUGAACGUCGAACUUUGGUAAUAUUUGAUGUUCGUAUUACAUGGUGGACUGUGAAAAUUAUAGUAUAAUUACUCGAUGCACUGUUUUUUCAUGAUGAAAUGAUAUUGUACGACGAUUCUGUGGAAGUGUGACAACAUCGUUUCAUCUAUAAAUAUACAUGUGUUUUUCUUAUUAUUACAUUCCUCCUGUUUACGUAUUGAACAUAUUAGGAUUCAUGUUUUUUUAUCUCCCAG
rnacentral:lncRNA from 1 species